ACUUUCAACAACGGAUCUCUUGGUUCUGGCAUCGAUGAAGAACGCAGCGAAAUGCGAUAAGUAAUGUGAAUUGCAGAAUUCAGUGAAUCAUCGAAUCUUUGAACGCACAUUGCGCCCGCCAGUACUCUGGCGGGCAUGCCUGUUCGAGCGUCA
rnacentral:rRNA from 1 species